CCUACGGGGGGCAGCAGUGGGGAAUAUUGGACAAUGGGGGGAACCCUGAUCCAGCGACGCCGCGUGAGUGAAGAAGUAUUUCGGUAUGUAAAGCUCUAUCAGCAGGGAAGAAAGAAAUGACGGUACCUGACUAAGAAGCCCCGGCUAACUACGUGCCAGCAGCCGCGGUAAUACGUAGGGGGCAAGCGUUAUCCGGAUUUACUGGGUGUAAAGGGAGCGUAGACGGCGAUGCAAGUCUGAAGUGAAAGGCGGGGGCCCAACCCCCGGACUGCUUUGGAAACUGUAUGGCUUGAGUACUGGAGAGGAUAGUGGAAUUCCUAGUGUAGCGGUGGAAUGCGUAGAUAUUAGGAGGAACAUCAGUGGCGAAGGCGACUAUCUGGACAGCAACUGACACUGAGGCACGAAAGCGUGGGGAGCAAACAGGAUUAGAUACCCGUGUAGUC
rnacentral:rRNA from 1 species